CAAGGCUGAGGUGUGAUGACGAGGCACUACGGUGCUGAAGUGAUAAAUGCCCUGCUUCCAGGAAAAGCCUCUAAGCUCCAGGUAACACGAAAUCGUACCCCAAACCGACACAGGUGGUCAGGUAGAGAAUACCAAGGCGCUUGAGAGAACUCGGGUGAAGGAACUAGGCAAAAUGGUGCCGUAACUUCGGGAGAAGGCACGCUGGUGUGUAGGUGAAGCCCCUGCGGGUGGAGCUGAAACCAGUCGAAGAUACCAGCUGGCUGCAACUGUUUAUUAAAAACACAGCACUGUGCAAACACGAAAGUGGACGUAUACGGUGUGACGCCUGCCCGGUGCCGGAAGGUUAAUUGAUGGGGUUAGCGGUAACGCGAAGCUCUUGAUCGAAGCCCCGGUAAACGGCGGCCGUAACUAUAACGGUCCUAAGGUAGCGAAAUUCCUUGUCGGGUAAGUUCCGACCUGCACGAAUGGCGUAAUGAUGGCCAGGCUGUCUCCACCCGAGACUCAGUGAAAUUGAACUCGCUGUGAAGAUGCAGUGUACCCGCGGCAAGACGGAAAGACCCCGUGAACCUUUACUAUAGCUUGACACUGAACACUGGUCCUUGAUGUGUAGGAUAGGUGGGAGGCUUUGAAGCGUGGACGCCAGUCUGCGCGGAGCCGUCCUUGAAAUACCACCCUUUAAUGGCUGGUGUUCUAACGUGGACCCGUGAUCCGGGUUGCGGACAGUGUCUGGUGGGUAGUUUGACUGGGGCGGUCUCCUCCCAAAGAGUAACGGAGGAGCACGAAGGUCAGCUAAUCCUGGUCGGACAUCAGGAGGUUAGUGCAAUGGCAUAAGCUGGCUUGACUGCGAGCGUGACGGCGCGAGCAGGUGCGAAAGCAGGUCAUAGUGAUCCGGUGGUUCUGAAUGGAAGGGCCAUCGCUCAACGGAUAAAAGGUACUCCGGGGAUAACAGGCUGAUACCGCCCAAGAGUUCAUAUCGACGGCGGUGUUUGGCACCUCGAUGUCGGCUCAUCACAUCCUGGGGCUGAAGUAGGUCCCAAGGGUAUGGCUGUUCGCCAUUUAAAGUGGUACGCGAGCUGGGUUUAGAACGUCGUGAGACAGUUCGGUCCCUAUCUGCCGUGGGCGCUGGAGAACUGAGGGGGGCUGCUCCUAGUACGAGAGGACCGGAGUGGACGCAUCACUGGUGUUCGGGUUGUCAUGCCAAUGGCACUGCCCGGUAGCUAAAUGCGGAAGAGAUAAGUGCUGAAAGCAUCUAAGCACGAAACUUGCCCCGAGAUGAGUUCUCCCUGACUCCUCGAGAGUCCUGAAGGAACGUUGAAGACGACGACGUUGAUAGGCCGGGUGUGUAAGCGCAGCGAUGCGUUGAGCUAACCGGUACUAAUGAACCGUGAGGCUUAACCUU
rnacentral:rRNA from 1 species